ACGCUCGACACCUACGGGAGGCGGCAGUGGGGAAUAUUGCACAAUGGGGGAAACCCUGAUGCAGCGACGCCGCGUGAGCGAAGAAGUAUUUCGGUAUGUAAAGCUCUAUCAGCAGGGAAGAAACUGACGGUACCUGACUAAGAAGCACCGGCUAAAUACGUGCAGCAGCCGCGGUAAUCUGAGGCGGGCUGGACAAGGC
rnacentral:rRNA from 1 species